GCAGGUAUCGUACAAUAGUUAGUACAUCUGCUUCCCAAGCAGAGAAUGUGGGUUCGAUUCCCGCUACUUGUUCCA
rnacentral:tRNA from 1 species